rnacentral:rRNA from 1 species
UACGGGGGGGGCAAGCGUUGUUCGGAAUUACUGGGCGUAAAGGGCUCGUAGGUGGCCAACUAAGUCAGACGUGAAAUCCCUCGGCUUAACCGGGGAACUGCGUCUGAUACUGGAAGGCUUGAAUCCGGGAGAGGGAUGCGGAAUUCCAGGUGUAGCGGUGAAAUGCGUAGAUAUCUGGAGGAACACCGGUGGCGAAGGCGGCAUCCUGGACCGGUAUUGACGCUGAGGCGCGAAAGCCAGGGGAGCAAAGCGGG